UACGUAGGUGGCAAGCGUUGUUCGGAAUUAUUGGGCGUAAAGGGCGCGUAGGCGGUUUGCUAAGUCAGUUGUGAAAGCCCGGGGCUCAACCCCGGAGGGUCGGCUGAUACUGGUGGACUAGAGUACGGAAGAGGCGAGUGGAAUUCCUGGUGUAGCGGUGAAAUGCGCAGAUAUCAGGAGGAACACCAAUUGCGAAGGCAGCUCGCUGGGACGUUACUGACGCUGAGACGCGAAAGCGUGGGGAGCAAACAGG
rnacentral:rRNA from 1 species